rnacentral:rRNA from 1 species
AGGGUGUAAACGCUGCAGACUUGGUGUUGGGAACCCUUCGGGGGUGCUCAGUGCCGGAGAGAAGUUGUUAAGUCUGCUACUUGGGGAGUACGUCCGCAAGGAUGAAACUUAAAGGAAUUGGCGGGGGAGCACCGCAACGGGAGGAGCGUGCGGUUUAAUUGGAUUCAACGCCGAAAAACUCACCAGCAGCGACUGUUACAUGAAAGUCAGGUUGAUGACCUUACUAGCUUUUCAGAGAGGUGGUGCAUGGCGUAGACGUCU